rnacentral:rRNA from 1 species
AUUGAACGCUGGCGGCAGGCCUAACACAUGCAAGUCGAACGGUAACAGGAAGCAGCUUGCUGCUUUGCUGACGAGUGGCGGACGGGUGAGUAAUGUCUGGGAAACUGCCUGAUGGAGGGGGAUAACUACUGGAAACGGUAGCUAAUACCGCAUAACGUCACAAGACCAAAGAGGGGGACCUUCGGGCCUCUUGCCAUCGGAUGUGCCCAGAUGGGAUUAGCUAGUAGGUGGGGUAACGGCUCACCUAGGCGACGAUCCCUAGCUGGUCUGAGAGGAUGACCAGGCACACUGGAACUGAGACACGGUCCAGACUCCUACGGGAGGCAGCAGUGGGGAAUAUUGCACAAUGGGCGCAAGCCUGAUGCAGCCAUGCCGCGUGUAUGAAGAAGGCCUUCGGGUUGUAAAGUACUUUCAGCGGGGAGGAAGGGAGUAAAGUUAAUACCUUUGCUCAUUGACGUUACCCGCAGAAGAAGCACCGGCUAACCCCGUG